rnacentral:rRNA from 1 species
CCUACGGGUGGCAGCAGUGAGGGAUAUUGGUCAAUGGCCGGAAGGCUGAACCAGCCAUGCCGCGUGGAGGUCAGUGCGCUAUGGGCGUUACACUUCUUUUGUGCGGGAGCAAUAAUGGUCACGUGUGGCCAGACGAGAGUACCGUACGAAUAAGCAUCGGCUAACUCCGUGCCAGCAGCCGCGGUAAUACGGGGGAUGCCAGCGUUAUCCGGAUUUAGUGGGUUUAAAGGGUGCGUAGGCUGUAAGGUAAGUCAGCGGGGAAAUGCCCCCGCUCAACGGGGUGAAGUGCCAUUGAUACUGCCUUGCUGGAAUGCGGAUGCCGUGGGCGGAAUGUGUGGUGUAGCGGUGAAAUGCAUAGAUAUCACACAGAACACCGAUUGCGAAGGCAUCUCACGAAUCCGCGAUUGACGCUGAUGCACGAAAGCGUGGGUAUCAAACAGGAUUAGAUACCCUUGUAGUC